rnacentral:rRNA from 1 species
CCUACGGGUGGCAGCAGUGGGGGAUAUUGCACAAUGGGGGAAACCCUGAUGCAGCGACGUCGCGUGAGUGAAGAAGUAUUUCGGUAUGUUAAGCCCUAUCAGCAGGGAAGAAAAUGACAGUACCUGACCAAGAAGCACAGGCUACCUACGUGCAAACAGCCGCGGUAAUACGUCGGGGGCAAGCGUUAUCCGGAUUUACUGGGUGUAAAGGGAGCGUAGACGGUUAUGUAAGUCUGGAGUGAAAGCCCGGGGCCCAACCCCGGGACUGCGUUGGAAACUGUGUAACUGGAGUACAGGAGGGGCAGGCGGAAUUCCUGGUGUAGCGGUGAAAUGCGUAGAUAUCAGGAAGAACUCCGGCGGCGAAGGCGGCCUGCUGGACUGAAACUGACGUUGAGGCUCGAAAGCGUGGGGAGCAAACAGGAUUAGAUACCCGUGUAGUC